AUUGAACGCUGGCGGCAUGCCUAACACAUGCAAGUCGAACGAGUGGCGGACGGGUGAGUAACGUAUGGGGAUCUGCCCGAUAGAGGGGGUUAACUACUGGAAACGGUGGCUAAUACCGCAUACUCUCGGAUGAAGCCAUCUGGGAUUAGCUAGUAGGGGGGGUAAAGGCUCACCUAGGCGACGAUUUCUAGCUGGUCUGAGAGGAUGUUGAGCCACACUGGGACUGGGACACGUCCAAGACUCCUACGGGAGGCAGCGGUGGGAAAUAUUGCACAAUGGGCGCAAUCCGGACGCAGCCAUGCCGCGUGAAUGAAGAGGGCCUUCGGGUUGUAAAGUUCUUUCGGUAGCGAGGCGUUAACUACAGAAGAAGCACCGGCUAACUCCGUGCCAGCAGCCGCGGUAAUAC
rnacentral:rRNA from 1 species